rnacentral:rRNA from 1 species
ACAACAGUUGGAAACGACUGCUAAUACCGCAUAAGCCCACGGCUCGGCAUCGAGCAGAGGGAAAAGGAGCAAUCCGCUUUGAGAUGGCCUCGCGUCCGAUUAGCUAGUUGGUGAGGUAACGGCCCACCAAGGCAACGAUCGGUAGCCGGACUGAGAGGUUGAACGGCCACAUUGGGACUGAGACACGGCCCAGACUCCUACGGGAGGCAGCAGUGGGGAAUACUGCACAAUGGGGGAAACCCUGAUGCAGCGACGCCGCGUGGAGGAAGAAGGUCUUCGGAUUGUAAACUCCUGUUGUUGAGGAAGAUAAUGACGGUACUCAACAAGGAAGUGACGGCUAACUACGUGCCAGCAGCCGCGGUAAAACGUAGGUCACAAGCGUUGUCCGGAAUUACUGGGUGUAAAGGGAGCGCAGGCGGGAAGACAAGUUGGAAGUGAAAUCCAUGGGCUCAACCCAUGAACUGCUUUCAAAACUGUUUUUCUUGAGUAGUGCAGAGGUAGGCGGAAUUCCCGGUGUAGCGGUGGAAUGCGUAGAUAUCGGGAGGAACACCAGUGGCGAAGGCGGCCUACUGGGCACCAACUGACGCUGAGGCUCGAAAGUGUGGGUAGCAAACAGGAUUAGAUACCCUGGUAGUCCACACUGU